AUUGAACGCUGGCGGCAGGCUUAACACAUGCAAGUCGAGCGGGGGGAGGUAGCUUGCUACCGGACCUAGCGGCGGACGGGUGAGUAAUGCUUAGGAGUCCGCCUAUUAGUGGGGGACAACAUCUCGAAAGGGAUGCUAAUACCGCAUACGUCCUACGGGAGAAAGCAGGGGAUCUUCGGACCUUGCGCUAAUAGAUGAGCCUAAGUCGGAUUAGCUAGUUGGUGGGGUAAAGGCCUACCAAGGCGACGAUCUGUAGCGGGUCUGAGAGGAUGAUCAGCCACACUGGGACUGGGACACGGCCCAGACUCCUACGGGAGGCAGCAGUGGGGAAUAUUGGACAAUGGGGGGAACCCUGAUCCAGCCAUGCCGCGUGUGUGAAGAAGGCCUUAUGGUUGUAAAGCACUUUAAGCGAGGAGGAGGCUACUUUAGUUAAUACCUAGAGAUAGUGGACGUUACUCGCAGAAUAAGCACCGGCUAACUCUGUGCCAGCCGCCGCCGUAA
rnacentral:rRNA from 1 species